rnacentral:rRNA from 1 species
CCUACGGGCGGCUGCAGUGGGGAAUAUUGGACAAUGGGCGAAAGCCUGAUCCAGCCAUGCCGCGUGUGUGAAGAAGGCCUUCGGGUUGUAAAGCACUUUCAGUGGGGAAGAAAGCCUUGGGGCUAAUACCCUCGAGGAAGGACAUCACCCACAGAAGAAGCACCGGCUAACUCCGUGCCAGCAGCCGCGGUAAUACGGAGGGUGCGAGCGUUAAUCGGAAUUACUGGGCGUAAAGCGCGCGUAGGCGGUCUGAUAAGCCGGUUGUGAAAGCCCCGGGCUCAACCUGGGAACGGCAUCCGGAACUGGCAGGCUAGAGUGCAGGAGAGGAAGGUAGAAUUCCCGGUGUAGCGGUGAAAUGCGUAGAGAUCGGGAGGAAUACCGGUGGCGAAGGCGGCCUUCUGGACUGACACUGACGCUGAGGUGCGAAAGCGUGGGUAGCAAACAGGAUUAGAUACCCUGGUAGUC